CAGGAUACAACAACGAUAUCCCAUACUCCUCGCACAGUUACUACAACUGCAACUUCAAUACUUAAGGUGUUAACAGGGGACCAAAUGUCCCAGAUUGAUGACAUCACGCUCUCAGGGAUCGAUUUUGGCCUACAAGGCUAUACAGGUACCCUCUUCACAUCUAGGCCUCGUUCUAAGCAAAAGAAUUCCUCGAAGAUGCCAAAACGUGGGAAGAAGGUAAUUGAACACAUUUCUAGUUGUACAAUUGUUUGAAAAUGUUGAAAUUGUCUUAGUUGGGAUUUGUAGAUUAAUUAGUGUUUUUUGUCUAUUUUACAUGUACAACGGUCAUUGAGCUAUGUGGAUUUGUUGAAUGCACCUGAUUCGCCUGUGGAUUGAGAGAGGGCAGAGGUAAUAGCGACAGUUUGUCCAUCGAUGGUGAGCCAUCCUUAGUCCAUUGGAGAAGCAUCUCAGGCACCGAUACAUCAUUGUUCUCUAUAUUAUAGAUUUUAAGUGUUUUUGAUGUAUUUAUGUUAGUACAUUGUAUUAAUUGUACAUUUAAUUUACAAUAGCCCCCUUCGCAAUUCAGGCAUAACGUGGAUCCUUUUAAGUUUGUCUUCAAGAAAUCUCCUAAGAGUGACAAGAAGAGGAGAGCAUUAGGUUCAUACAGUAAAUCAAAUGUCUCUUCUUCAAUUGCAUUAGGUGCAUUAUGUUCUUUUGGUAAA